rnacentral:lncRNA from 1 species
CUCUGGUCCAGGGCGUUAAAUAUGUCUUCAUGGAGGAGCGUGUGGUAACACCGUGGACCAGAGCUAUCCAAUACAUAGCUCUGGUCCAGGUCAUUAAAUGUGUCUUCAUGGAGGAAUCUGUGGUAACACCGUGGACCAGAGCUAUCCAAAACAUAGCUCUGGUCCAGGGCAUUAAAUAUGUCUUCAUGGAGGAACGUGUGGUAACACUGUGGACCAGAGCUAUCCAAUACAUAGCUCUGGUCCAGGGCAUUAUAUAUGUCUUCGUGGAGGAACGUGUGGUAACACCGUGGACCAGAGUUACCCAAUACAUAGCUCUGGUCCAGGGCAUUAAAUAUGUCUUAAUGGAGGAGCGUGUGGUAACACCGUGGACCAGAGCUACCCAAUACAUAGCUCUGGUCCAUGGCAUUAACUAUGUCUUCGUGGGGGAAUGUGUGGUAACACCGUGGACCAGAGCUAUCCAAUACAUAGCUCUGGUCCAGGGCAAUAAAUAUGUCUUCAUGGAGGAAUGUGUGGUAACACCGUGGACCAGAGCUAUGAACAUGUUACAGAUGUGUAGAGACAGAAAAAAAUAAUACAUAUAUUUUUUAUUUUUCUCACAACCUUGAUAAGAAAAUACAAAUGUCAGUAGAACCAAUUGUACACCUUGUAGGUGAUUAAUAUCAUUAAACAUUGGGGUUAUUAAGGGCUUUAAUAACAACAGAAAUCAAUAUAUUACCUUUUCGACAGACUCUCACAUCAACUCAUCCCAUUGGCAGGAAAAACGUUGUGGUAUAAACGGUUAACAAACCUUCCUCCAAUACCGCAUGUCAAUUACCAUGAUAACCAACACAGUAUAUAUACACUGACAUACAAUACCAGGAUAUAUACACACUGAUUUACAAUACCAGUAUAUAUACACACUGACAUACAAUACCAGUAUAUAUACACACUGAUUUACAAUACCAGUAUAUAUACACACUGACAUACAAUACCAGUAUAUAUACACUGACAUACAAUACCAGUUUAUAUACACUGAUAUACAAUACCAGUAUAUAUACACUGACAUACAAUACCAGUUUAUAUACACACUGACAUACAAUACCAGUAUAUAUACACUGACAUACAAUACCAGUAUAUAUACACUGAUAUACAAUACCAGUAUAUAUACACUGAUAUACAAUACCAGUAUAUAUACACUGACAUACAAUACCAGUAUAUAUACACUGAUAUACAAUACCAGUAUAUAUACACUGAUAUACAAUACCAGUAUAUAUACACUGAUAUACAAUGCCAGUAUAUAUAUUUCCAUGUAGUUUGUUUUGGAAGGUAUCCAAAGAUGUCAAGUCUACCCUCAGACACUGUGCUUUUUUUUUUCUCACAUAUUGGACUAUACAGUAUAUUGGGAAAGUGUCUUCUAGCAUAGGGUUGUAAUCCCAAAUGGCACCCUAUUCUCUAUAUAUAGUGCACUAAAAGUAGUGCACUAAGGUAGGGAAUAGGGUGCAAUUUGGGACCAUUACAUAGUCAUCGUCACCCACUUUUGUGCAUAUAACCAACACUCUUAUCAAAGAUAUGAAACGGGCUCUAAAAAAAAAAACCACACACUACAUUUGGUCCCUUGAUUGGUAUUGGGUGCUUUAUAAGUUAAAAAGUACAGAUUUGUCUUGAAGUUUUGGCCAACUGUACUCUAAUACCCUUAUCAAAUAGAAGAGGAAGAAUUUACCCGUCUGCCUGAGUACCCUGAUGUUUAUAUUUUUAAAAAGAUAAACGUUUAAAUAAAUUCAUAAUCUGGCAGGACAAUUUAGAUAAAUCUGGCAUUCUGGAUUCUUACUCCAACAAAAAGGCUCCUACGACUUACUGUUUCCUGUUACGCCCUGACCAGUAAAAGGGGAUGUUUGUUAUUGUAGUUUGGUCAGGACGUGGCAGGGGGUGUUUGUUUUAUGUGUUUCGGGGUUUGUUGGUUAAUGUUCUAUGUUAGUAUAUUUCUAUGUUCGUUCUAGUUCUUAUAUUUCUAUGUUUAGUUUAUUGGGUUGACCUUCAAUUGGAGGCAGCUGUUCCUCGUUGUCUCUAAUUGAAGGUCCUAUUUAGUAGGGGUGUUUUUCCAUGGGGUUUUGGGUGGGUAGUUGUUCCGUGUGCCUUACAGGACUGUUUUUCGUCGUUUUUGUUUUUAUCGAAAUAAAGAAGAUUAGUAUUCACAUUCCCACUGCGUUUUGGUCCCAUCCUUACGACGAAUAUGACAUUUCCACACAGCACCCUACACACUAGAUAUAAGCCUACGACUUACUGUUUCCACACAGCACCAUACACACUAGAUAUAAUCCUAAACCACACUGUUUCCACACAGCACCAUACACACUAGAUAUAAUCCUAAACCACACCUUUUUCCACACAGCACCCUACACACUAGAUAUAAUCCUAAACCUCACUGUUUCCACACAGCACCCUACACACUAGAUAUAAUCCUAAACCCAUCUGUUUCCACACAGCACCAUAAACACUAGAUAUGGCUUUAUUUCAUCCAAUACCUAGGAGGACUAAUCUGGUAGAACAUGGUAGUAUUGGAGGACUAAUCUGGUAGAACAUGGUACUAUAGGAGGACUAAUCUGGUAGAACAUGGUACUAUAGGAGGACUAAUCUGGUAGAACAUGGUACUAUAGGAGGACUAAUCUGGUAGAACAUGAGGUCUAUAGGAGGACUAAUCUGGUAGAACAUGAGGUCUAUAGGAGGACUAAUCUGGUAGAACAUGGGGUCUGGUAAGGAGGGCCAGGUACUGGGUUCUACUCAGGAGGGUGACACACAGCCAGGACACUAAUGCCUGAUUCCCACCAUAUGGCUGACCUGACUUGUACCGUGCUGACUGAUAUAUGAUCCGUUUAGCAGCUUUGGUAGAUGUUUAACCAGACCAGCCUAGUCCAGCUGGUAGAUGUUUAACCAGACCAGCCUAGUCCAGCUGGUAGA